rnacentral:rRNA from 1 species
CCUACGGGUGGCAGCAGUGGGGAAUAUUGGACAAUGGGGGCAACCCUGAUCCAGCCAUGCCGCGUGUGUGAAGAAGGCCCUCGGGUUGUAAAGCACUUUCAGUGAGGAAGAACGCCUGGUGGUUAAUACCCAUCAGGAAAGACAUCACUCACAGAAGAAGCACCGGCUAACUCCGUGCCAGCAGCCGCGGUAAUACGGAGGGUGCGAGCGUUAAUCGGAAUUACUGGGCGUAAAGCGCGCGUAGGUGGCUUGAUAAGCCGGUUGUGAAAGCCCCGGGCUCAACCUGGGAACGGCAUCCGGAACUGUCAAGCUAGAGUGCAGGAGAGGAAGGUAGAAUUCCCGGUGUAGCGGUGAAAUGCGUAGAGAUCGGGAGGAAUACCAGUGCGAAGGCGGCCUUCUGGACUGACACUGACACUGAGGUGCGAAAGCGUGGGUAGCAAACAGGAUUAGAUACCCUGGUAGUC